rnacentral:rRNA from 1 species
UGGGGAAUUUUGGACGAAUGGGCGAAAGCCUGAUCCAGCAAUGCCGCGUGUGUGAAGAAGGCCUUCGGGUUGUAAAGCACUUUUGUCCGGAAAGAAAUCCUUGGCUCUAAUACAGUCGGGGGAUGACGGUACCGGAAGAAUAAGCACCGGCUAACUACGUGCCAGCAGCCGCGGUAAUACGUAGGGUGCAAGCGUUAAUCGGAAUUACUGGGCGUAAAGCGUGCGCAGGCGGUUUGCUAAGACCGAUGUGAAAUCCCCGGGCUCAACCUGGGAACUGCAUUGGUGACUGGCAGGCUAGAGUAUGGCAGAGGGGGUAGAAUUCCACGUGUAGCAGUGAAAUGCGUAGAGAUGUGGAGGAAUACCGAUGGCGAAGGCAGCCCCCUGGGCAAGUACUGACGCUCAUGCACGAAAAGCGUGGGGAGCAAACNGGAUUAAUACCCUGGUAGUCCACGCCCUAAANGAUGUCAACUAGUUGUUGGGGAUUCAUUUCUUAGUAACGUAGCUAACGCGUGAAGUUGACCG